rnacentral:tRNA from 1 species
GCCUUUAUAGUGUAUUCAGCAUAAAAGAUUGUGGCUCUUUUGGAGGGCAAAAGUCCUGGGGGUC